UCCAGACUCCUACGGGAGGCAGCAGUGAGGAAUAUUGGUCAAUGGGCGCGAGCCUGAACCAGCCAAGUCGCGUGAGGGAUGACGGUCCUACGGAUUGUAAACCUCUUUUGCCGGGGAGCAAGCGUGCGUUCGUGAACGCGCGUCGAGAGUACCCGGAGAAAAAGCAUCGGCUAACUCCGUGCCAGCAGCCGCGGUAAUACGGAGGAUGCGAGCGUUAUCCGGAUUUAUUGGGUUUAAAGGGUGCGUAGGCGGGAUGCCAAGUCUGAUGUGAAAUACCGGGGCUCAACCCCGGGGCUGCAUUGGAAACUGGCAGGCUGGAGUGUCGGAGAGGCAGGCGGAAUUCCUGGUGUAGCGGUGAAAUGCGUAGAUAUCAGGAGGAACACCGGCGGCGAAGGCGGCCUGCUGGACCGCGACUGACGUUGAGGCUCGAAAGCGUGGGGAGCGAACAGGAUUAGAUACCCGGGUAC
rnacentral:rRNA from 1 species